rnacentral:rRNA from 1 species
CCUACGGGUUGCAGCAGUGGGGAAUAUUGCACAAUGGGCGCAAGCCUGAUGCAGCCAUGCCGCGUGUAUGAAGAAGGCCUUAGGGUUGUAAAGUACUUUCAGUUGGGAGGAAGGCGUUGAUGCUAAUAUCAUCAACGAUUGACGUUACCAACGGGAGAAGCACCGGCUAACUCCGUGCCAGCAGCCGCGGUAAUACGGAGGGUGCAAGCGUUAAUCGGAAUUACUGGGCGUAAAGCGCACGCAGGCGGUUGAUUAAGUUAGAUGUGAAAUCCCCGGGCUUAACCUGGGAAUGGCAUCUAAGACUGGUCAGCUAGAGUCUUGUAGAGGGGGGUAGAAUUCCAUGUGUAGCGGUGAAAUGCGUAGAGAUGUGGAGGAAUACCGGUGGCGAAGGCGGCCCCCUGGACAAAGACUGACGCUCAGGUGCGAAAGCGUGGGGAGCAAACAGGAUUAGAUACCCUAGUAGUC